CCAAACACAGGCAGAGAUUGCUCAUUAGUUACAUUAAUCUUGACCUAAUGGAAGUCUUGGCUUAGCAAGGUGGCACUUAGCAUGGAUGAGACUAAUGUUCUAAAUGUAGGAUGCUGGAAGAACAGAAAGUAAGCUACUAUAAGGUCAUGUGCCUUAUUCUCAACAUUUAGUUUAUGGAUUCUGAUAGAAUCCAGUGGGCUGUAAUUCUACAGAAGCAUCACUGAAGGACAGAGUGGCACUACCAUACCAAAUCCUGCUUAAAUCAUGGCAGCAAAGUCUGCCGCUAGUCGUGCAUCCAAACCCAAACUCAGUUCUGCUCUUCCCAGUAUUUCCAAGGUUUCUGCUCCUGAUGCUGAUUUUAUUCUCUUAUCCUUGUUGAUAAUGAACGUAUUUAUUGUACUGGAUCUACUGAUGUUAAGAACUGACACUUGGAUACUAUCUGCUAUGAUGUGAUGCAGCCAGGACAGUCUUCACAAGACCCAGUGCAAUUCUGUUUGAACUUUCAGCCUCCAGAACUGACCUGUGUGGAUUCCUGCUCAUUGUGCUCACCCUGCAUGGCAUCAUGAGUUGGCUUCAAGGCCUUCAGGACCCUAUCUCCCAGUUCCACUUCAGGUUCGAGAAGAGAGAGGUGUCAAACCUCCUCAGUUUGUCAGAGCACCAGUUACCUGAGGAGACCUCAAGUCACUAGUCGUUUAGCUGAGCAAUUGCUUCAACAUGAACACCAAGAAGAAACCCCUAAGACUCUUUACAGUCAUAAUGACUCAA